rnacentral:rRNA from 14 species
CGGUGGUUCUGAAUGGAAGGGCCAUCGCUCAACGGAUAAAAGGUACUCCGGGGAUAACAGGCUGAUACCGCCCAAGAGUUCAUAUCGACGGCGGUGUUUGGCACCUCGAUGUCGGCUCAUCACAUCCUGGGGCUGAAGUCGGUCCCAAGGGUAUGGCUGUUCGCCAUUUAAAGUGGUACGCGAGCUGGGUUUAGAACGUCGUGAGACAGUUCGGUCCCUAUCUGCCGUGGACGUUUGAGAUUUGAGAGGGGCUG